ensembl:lncRNA
AGAGAAGUCAACUUUCUGGGCCACGUGGUCAGUGCGGCUGGAGUGUCCGUAGAUCCUGGAAAGGUAUCGGCCGUGGAGGACUGGAAGGCCCCGAGGACAGUGAGAUGCCAGCAAUCUCGGGCUGGGAGCGGUGUUGGCUCAACGGCAGGACGGAGUCGAGAGGGUCAUCGCGUAUGCCAGCCGGAGCCUCCACCCAGCCGAGAGGAACGAUGCGAACUAUAGUUCUUUCAAAUUGGAGCUGCUGGCGUUGAAGUGGGCCCUAAGUGAGAAAUUU